rnacentral:rRNA from 1 species
CCUACGGGAGGCAGCAGUGGGGAAUCUUGCGCAAUGGGCGAAAGCCUGACGCAGCAACGCCGCGUGCGGGAAGAAGGCUUUCGGGCUGUAAACCGCUUUCAGCAGGAACGAAAAUGACGGUACCUGCAGAAGAAGGAGCGGCCAACUAUGUGCCAGCAGCCGCGGUGAUACAUAGGCUUCAAGCGUUGUCCGGAUUUAUUGGGCGUAAAGAGUUCGUAGGCGGUCGAGUAAGUCGGGUGUGAAAAUUCUGGGCUCAACCCAGAGACGCCACCCGAUACUGCUUGACUUGAGUUCGAUAGGGGAGUGGGGAAUUCCUAGUGUAGCGGUGAAAUGCGCAGAUAUUAGGAGGAACACCGGUGGCGAAGGCGCCACUCUGGAUCGAUACUGACGCUGAGGAACGAAAGCAUGGGUAGCAAACAGGAUUAGAUACCCUGGUAGUCCAUGCCGUAAACGGUGGGCACUAGGUGUGGGUUUCUAUUAACGAAAUCCGCGCCGUCGCUAACGCAUUAAGUGCCCCGCCUGGGGAGUACGGUCGCAAGACUAAAACUUAAAUGAAUUGACGG